rnacentral:rRNA from 1 species
GGUUAAGCGACUAAGCGUACACGGUGGAUGCCCUGGCAGUCAGAGGCGAUGAAGGACGUGCUAAUCUGCGAUAAGCGUCGGUAAGGUGAUAUGAACCGUUAUAACCGGCGAUUUCCGAAUGGGGAAACCCAGUGUGUUUCGACACACUAUCAUUAACUGAAUCCAUAGGUUAAUGAGGCGAACCGGGGGAACUGAAACAUCUAAGUACCCCGAGGAAAAGAAAUCAACCGAGAUUCCCCCAGUAGCGGCGAGCGAACGGGGAGGAGCCCAGAGCCUGAAUCAGUGUGUGUGUUAGUGGAAGCGUCUGGAAAGGCGCGCGAUACAGGGUGACAGCCCCGUACACAAAAAUGCACAUGCUGUGAGCUCGAUGAGUAGGGCGGGACACGUGGUAUCCUGUCUGAAUAUGGGGGACCAUCCUCCAAGGCUAAAUACUCCUGACUGACCGAUAGUGAACCAGUACCGUGAGGGAAAGGCGAAAAGAACCCCGGCGAGGGGAGUGAAAAGAACCUGAAACCGUGUACGUACAAGCAGUGGGAGCACAGAGCAAUCUGUGUGACUGCGUACCUUUGUAUAAUGGGUCAGCGACUUAUAUUCUGUAGCAAGGUUAACCGAAUAGGGGAGCCGAAGGGAAACCGAGUCUUAACUGGGCGUUAAGUUGCAGGGUAUAGACCCGAAACCCGGUGAUCUAGCCAUGGGCAGGUUGAAGGUUGGGUAACACUAACUGGAGGACCGAACCGACUAAUGUUGAAAAAUUAGCGGAUGACUUGUGGCUGGGGGUGAAAGGCCAAUCAAACCGGGAGAUAGCUGGUUCUCCCCGAAAGCUAUUUAGGUAGCGCCUCGUGAAUUCAUCUCCGGGGGUAGAGCACUGUUUCGGCAAGGGGGUCAUCCCGACUUACCAACCCGAUGCAAACUGCGAAUACCGGAGAAUGUUAUCACGGGAGACACACGGCGGGUGCUAACGUCCGUCGUGAAGAGGGAAACAACCCAGACCGCCAGCUAAGGUCCCAAAGUCAUGGUUAAGUGGGAAACGAUGUGGGAAGGCCCAGACAGCCAGGAUGUUGGCUUAGAAGCAGCCAUCAUUUAAAGAAAGCGUAAUAGCUCACUGGUCGAGUCGGCCUGCGCGGAAGAUGUAACGGGGCUAAACCAUGCACCGAAGCUGCGGCAGCGACACUGUGUGUUGUUGGGUAGGGGAGCGUUCUGUAAGCCUGUGAAGGUGUGCUGUGAGGCAUGCUGGAGGUAUCAGAAGUGCGAAUGCUGACAUAAGUAACGAUAAAGCGGGUGAAAAGCCCGCUCGCCGGAAGACCAAGGGUUCCUGUCCAACGUUAAUCGGGGCAGGGUGAGUCGACCCCUAAGGCGAGGCCGAAAGGCGUAGUCGAUGGGAAACAGGUUAAUAUUCCUGUACUUGGUGUUACUGCGAAGGGGGGACGGAGAAGGCUAUGUUGGCCGGGCGACGGUUGUCCCGGUUUAAGCGUGUAGGCUGGUUUUCCAGGCAAAUCCGGAAAAUCAAGGCUGAGGCGUGAUGACGAGGCACUACGGUGCUGAAGCAACAAAUGCCCUGCUUCCAGGAAAAGCCUCUAAGCAUCAGGUAACAUCAAAUCGUACCCCAAACCGACACAGGUGGUCAGGUAGAGAAUACCAAGGCGCUUGAGAGAACUCGGGUGAAGGAACUAGGCAAAAUGGUGCCGUAACUUCGGGAGAAGGCACGCUGAUAUGUAGGUGAAGUCCCUCGCGGAUGGAGCUGAAAUCAGUCGAAGAUACCAGCUGGCUGCAACUGUUUAUUAAAAACACAGCACUGUGCAAACACGAAAGUGGACGUAUACGGUGUGACGCCUGCCCGGUGCCGGAAGGUUAAUUGAUGGGGUCAGCGCAAGCGAAGCUCUUGAUCGAAGCCCCGGUAAACGGCGGCCGUAACUAUAACGGUCCUAAGGUAGCGAAAUUCCUUGUCGGGUAAGUUCCGACCUGCACGAAUGGCGUAAUGAUGGCCAGGCUGUCUCCACCCGAGACUCAGUGAAAUUGAACUCGCUGUGAAGAUGCAGUGUACCCGCGGCAAGACGGAAAGACCCCGUGAACCUUUACUAUAGCUUGACACUGAACAUUGAGCCUUGAUGUGUAGGAUAGGUGGGAGGCUUUGAAGUGUGGACGCCAGUCUGCAUGGAGCCGACCUUGAAAUACCACCCUUUAAUGUUUGAUGUUCUAACGUGGACCCGUGAUCCGGGUUGCGGACAGUGUCUGGUGGGUAGUUUGACUGGGGCGGUCUCCUCCUAAAGAGUAACGGAGGAGCACGAAGGUUGGCUAAUCCCGGUCGGACAUCAGGAGGUUAGUGCAAUGGCAUAAGCCAGCUUGACUGCGAGCGUGACGGCGCGAGCAGGUGCGAAAGCAGGUCAUAGUGAUCCGGUGGUUCUGAAUGGAAGGGCCAUCGCUCAACGGAUAAAAGGUACUCCGGGGAUAACAGGCUGAUACCGCCCAAGAGUUCAUAUCGACGGCGGUGUUUGGCACCUCGAUGUCGGCUCAUCACAUCCUGGGGCUGAAGUAGGUCCCAAGGGUAUGGCUGUUCGCCAUUUAAAGUGGUACGCGAGCUGGGUUUAGAACGUCGUGAGACAGUUCGGUCCCUAUCUGCCGUGGGCGCUGGAGAACUGAGGGGGCUGCUCCUAGUACGAGAGGACCGGAGUGGACGCAUCACUGGUGUUCGGGUUGUCAUGCCAAUGGCACUGCCCGGUAGCUAAAUGCGGAAGAGAUAAGUGCUGAAAGCAUCUAAGCACGAAACUUGCCCCGAGAUGAGUUCUCCCUGACCCUUUAAGGGUCCUGAAGGAACGUUGAAGACGACGACGUUGAUAGGCCGGGUGUGUAAGCGCAGCGAUGCGUUGAGCUAACCGGUACUAAUGAACCGUGAGGCUUAACCUU